UACGAAGGGGGCUAGCGUUGCUCGGAAUCACUGGGCGUAAAGCGCACGUAGGCGGAUUGUUAAGUCAGGGGUGAAAUCCUGGAGCUCAACUCCAGAACUGCCUUUGAUACUGGCGAUCUUGAGUCCGGGAGAGGUGAGUGGAACUGCGAGCGUAGAGGUGAAAUUCGUAGAUAUUCGCAAGAACACCAGUGGCGAAGGCGGCUCACUGGCCCGGUACUGACGCUGAGGUGCGAAAGCGUGGGGAGCAAACAGG
rnacentral:rRNA from 1 species